UAUCAAAAACAUGUCUAUAUGAAGAUAUAUACAGUCUGACCUGCCCACUGAAUUUUGAAGGGCCGCGGUAUUCCUGACCGUGCGAAGGUAGCAUAAUCAUUAGUCUUUUAAUUAAAGGCUCGUAUGAAUGGUUGGACGAGAGAUAAACUGUUUCAAAUAAGUAGUUUGAACUUAACUUUUAAGUGAAAAGGCUUAAAUACCUCAAAAAGACGAUAAGACCCUAUAAAUCUUAACAUUAAGCUUUAUGUUAUUCUAAUUUAUAAGUUUAAAGAAAUUUAUAAUAAAAAUGUUAUGUUGGGGCAACAAAGAUAUAAUACAGUUAGCUGUUUUAACAUUCACACAAAAAUCAUUGACUUUUUAGAUCCUUACUAAAGAUUCCAAGAUUAAGUUACUUUAGGGAUAACAGCGUUAUUCUUUUCAAGAGUCCUCAUCGAAAAAAGAGUUUGCGACCUCGAUGUUGAAUUAGAAAAUCUUUAUGGUGCAGCAGCCAUAAUAGAAAGUCUGUUCGACUUUUAAAUUUCUACGUGAUCUGAG
rnacentral:rRNA from 1 species